AUUGAACGCUGGCGGAAUGCUUUACACAUGCAAGUCGAACGGCAGCACGGACUUCGGUCUGGUGGCGAGUGGCGAACGGGUGAGUAAUGCAUCGGAACGUGCCCAAUCGUGGGGGAUAACGUAGCGAAAGUUACGCUAAUACCGCAUACGAUCUAAGGAUGAAAGCGGGGGAUCGCAAGACCUCGCGCGAAUGGAGCGGCCGAUGUUAGAUUAGGUAGUUGGUGGGGUAAAGGCUCACCAAGCCGACGAUCUAUAGCUGGUCUGAGAGGAUGAUCAGCCACACUGGGCCUGAGACACGGCCCAGACUCCGACGGGAGGCAGCAGUGGGUAAUUUUAGACAAUGUGCGCAAGCCUGAUCCAGCCAUUCCGCGUGCAGGAUGAAGGCCCUCGGGUUGUAAACUGCUUUUGUACAGAACGAAAAGCUCUGGGUUAAUACCCUGGGGUCAUGACGGUACUGUAAGAAUAAGCACCGGCUAACUACGUGCCAGCCGCCGCAGUAA
rnacentral:rRNA from 1 species